CACCGCGGUUAUACGAUACGCUCAAGUUGACAGCCCUCGGCAUAAAGCGUGGUUAAUUAACAACAAAACUAAAGUCGAACCCGCCUCAGAUCUGUUAAAAGCCUACGAGACGGGGAAGCCCAACAACGAAAGUGACUUUAAAAUUAAUGAAUCCACUAAAGCUAAGAAA
rnacentral:rRNA from 1 species